UAGCUUUUUUAUUAGUUCACAGCAAAAUUAUACAUGCAAGAAUCGUCACCCCAGUGAGAAUUCCCUCUUGAUCACAAUUUAGAUUUAAAGGAGUAGGCAUCAAGCACACACUAAAAGUAGCUCAUGACGCCUUGCUUAGCCACACCCCCACGGGAUACAGCAGUAAUAAAAAUUAAGCUAUAAACGAAAGUUUGACUAAGUUAUGCUACACCCCUAGAGUUGGUCAAUCUCGUGCCAGCCACCGCGGUCAUACGAUUGACUCUAACUAAUAAAGCACGGCGUAAAGAGUGUUAAAGAUAAUACAAAAAUAAAAUUAAAUAUAACCUAAGCUGUAAAAAGCAACAGGCUAUAAAAAAAUCACAUACAAAAGUAAUUUUAAUUUGUCCAACACACUAAAGCUAAGGCCCAAACUGGGAUUAGAUACCCCACUAUGCUCAGCCCUAAGCACAAAAACUUUAUAACAAAAAUUUUCGCCAGAGGACUACUAGCAACAGCUUAAAACUCAAAGGACUUGGCGGUGCUUUAAACCCAUCUAGAGGAGCCUGUUCUAUAAUCGAUAAACCCCGAUAAACCUCACCACUUCUUGCUAAUACAGUUUAUAUACCGCCAUCUUCAGCAAACCCC
rnacentral:rRNA from 1 species